GAUGAACGCUGGCGGCGUGCCUAAUACAUGCAAGUCGAGCGAACGGACGAGAAGCUUGCUUCUCUGAUGUUAGCGGCGGACGGGUGAGUAACACGUGUAUAACCUACCUAUAAGACUGGUAUAACUUCGGGAAACCGGAGCUAAUACCGGAUAAUCUUUUGAACCGCAUGGUUCAAAAGUGAGAGACGGUGUUUCUGUCACUUAUAGAGGGAUCUGCGCUGCAUUAGCUAGUUGUUAAGGUAACGGCUUACUAAGGCAACGAUGCAUAGCCGACCGGGGAGGGUGAUCGGCCACACUGGAACUGAGACACGGUCCAGACUCCUACGGGAGGCAGCAGUAGGGAAUCUUCCGCAAUGGGCGAAAGCAUGACGGAGCAACGCCGCGUGAGUGAUGAAGGUCUUCGGAUCGUAAAACUCUGUUAUUAGGGAAGAACAUAUGUGUAAGUAACUGUGCACAUCUUGACGGUACCUAAUCAGAAAGCCACGGCUAACUACGUG
rnacentral:rRNA from 1 species